CUCAAGCAGCACUAAGACUUUU
rnacentral:miRNA from 1 species